rnacentral:rRNA from 1 species
AUUGAACGCUGGCGGCAGGCCUAACACAUGCAAGUCGAACGAGUGGCGGACGGGUGAGUAAUGUCUGGGAAACUGCCCGAUGGAGGGGGAUAACUACUGGAAACGGUAGCUAAUACCGCAUACCAUCGGAUGUGCCCAGAUGGGGUUAGCUAGUAGGUGGGGUAACGGUUUAUCUAGGCGACGAUCCCUAGCUGGUCUGAGAGGAUGACCGACCACUCUGGAACUGUGACACGGUCCGGACUCCUACGGGAGGCAGCAGUGGAGAAUAUUGCACAAGGGGCGCAAGCCUGAUACAGCCAUGCCGCGUGUAUGAAGAAGGCCGUCGGGUUGUAAAGUACUUUCAGCGAGGAGGCGUUACUCGCAGAAGAAGCACCGGCUAACUCCGUGCCAGCAGCCGCGGUAAUUC